GACGAACGCUGGCGGCGUGCUUAACACAUGCAAGUCGAACGGAAAGGCCCUGCUUUCGUGGGGCGCUUGAGUGGCAAACGGGUGAGUAACACGUGAGUACCCUGCCCUUGACUGUGGGAUACCUUCAGGAAACGGGCGCUAAUACCGUAUAGGAGCUCCUGCUGCAUGGGGGUGGUUGGAAAUUUUGGGCGGGGUGGGAUGGGCUCGCGGCUUAUCAGGUUGUGGGGGGGGGGAGGGCUUACCAAGCCAUUGGCGGGUAGCCGGCCUGGGAGGGUGGCCGGGCACAUUGGGACGGGGAUAAGGCCCCGACGCCGACGGGAGGGAGCAGGGGGGACGAUGGCAAAAUGGGCGGAAGCCUGAUGCAGCGCCGCCGCGGGGGGGAUGACGGCCUUCGGGUUGUAAACUCCUUUCGCUAGGGACGAAGCUUUGUGUGACGGUACCGAGAUAAGAAGCACCGGCUAACUACGUG
rnacentral:rRNA from 1 species